UACGAAGGGGGCUAGCGUUGCUCGGAAUCACUGGGCGUAAAGCGCACGUAGGCGGACUCUUAAGUCGGUGGUGAAAUCCUGGAGCUCAACUCCAGAACUGCCUUCGAUACUGAGAGUCUCGAGUCCGGGAGAGGUGAGUGGAACUGCGAGUGUAGCGGUGAAAUUCGUAGAUAUUCGCAAGAACACCAGUGGCGAAGGCGGCUCACUGGCCCGGUACUGACGCUGAGGUGCGAAAGCGUGGGGAGCAAACAGG
rnacentral:rRNA from 1 species